rnacentral:rRNA from 1 species
UGGGGAAUAUUGGACAAUGGGCGAAAGCCUGAUCCAGCCAUGCCGCGUGGGUGAAGAAGGCCCUAGGGUUGUAAACCCCUUUCAGCGGGGAAGAUAAUGACGGUACCCGCAGAAGAAGCCCCGGCUAACUCCGUGCCAGCAGCCGCGGUAAUACGGAGGGGGCUAGCGUUGUUCGGAAUUACUGGGCGUAAAGCGCGCGUAGGCGGACUUUCAAGUCAGGGGUGAAAUCCCGAGGCUCAACCUCGGAACUGCCUUUGAUACUGUAAGUCUUGAGUCCGAGAGAGGUGAGUGGAAUUCCUAGUGUAGAGGUGAAAUUCGUAGAUAUUAGGAAGAACACCAGUGGCGAAGGCGGCUCACUGGCUCGGUACUGACGCUGAGGCGCGAAAGCGUGGGGAGCAAACAGGAUUAGAUACCCUGGUAGUCCACGCCGUAAACUAUGGGUGCGUAGCCGUCGGGGAGCAUGCUCUUCGGUGGCGCAG